rnacentral:lncRNA from 1 species
UAUUAAUAAUUAAUUAUAAAUAAUAAAUUAUUUAAUUAUUUAAUUUUUAAAAUAAUAAAUAAUAAUUUAAAUAUAUUAAUUAGAUUAAUUAAUAAUUUACUGCCAUUAAAAUUAGAUUUAGAUUUUAAUUAAUCUUGUUCUCAUCAAGGAACAAGCUUGUUCCAGGAAACGGGUGGAACAGCAGUUCCAGCCUUAUUCCAGCUAGUUCCAGAUUUUCAGAAACUACUGUUCCUGGGAGCCAAACAUAACGUUUGGGAACAAAGAGGGGAACAAGGGCUUAUUCCCUCCCUUAUUCCCCAACCAAACGCUACCCUAGAGUUGAGUUGGUGGUUGGUUGAAUAGUAUGGUCUAACGGAUAAAAAUGAUCAAAGGGGUUAAUCUAACGGUAGAAAACUUGAUAGUACAAAAUGCUUGGUGCUAUUGAUAGCAUAGCAGCUGGACUCUAUAAAAAUUUAAAAAAUUACGGAAAAUUUAUAAAUUGAGAUAUUAGAUGAAUAAUCUUAAAAUAUGAAAGUUAAUUAAAGCAGGAAGAAAGUAGUAAUGUUG